ensembl:lncRNA
CUGGGUUUAAGACUUAUAUACUAACCAAUGAUUUCAAAUGAUUUAAAUAUAAUGAUAUACUUUAUUAAUCAUAAUAUCUGAUGUUUCAUAUGGUCUGUAUGCAGGAAUCUAAAUCGACCUUGAAUUCAUUAAUUAUAUUCUUUAAUACUGUCACAUUAAAUUAUUUAGAAGUCAGUUAUGCCUGAUAACUGGCUAGAAACAUGUCUAAUAAUAUAAGACUAAUCAGUAUAUGAGUGCUAUUAUGAGUGUGCGCAAGGUUAUGUGCCAGCUCAGUGUGUUGAUUCAUAGGGUCUUCCUUACGGUGUGUGUAUUUUAGGUGGUCUGUCUCAGGCACGAAUGGUCUGGGACAGAGCGGUGACCCGACACAUUGACUCAGCACAAGACCACCGCCAUCACACCAGAAUGUUCCAUCGUCCUGACCCAGGCUUUUAUGAUGGGAUGUUGCUCAGUAUUCUGAACAUUGUUUGAUUGGCAGUCCACACAAGAGCAGUAAAGUGACUCACACACUAGCUUGAGGUUCUAAGUCAGACUUAUAUGUGUGUCACUGGUGUUUAAAAUAAUUCCAAAAGCACAGAGUCUUUUAGUUUUGUAUUAUUAUCAACAGAUUAAACAGAAGAUACCGGAGAAGAAGAACACACAUCUGUGCUUGUGCUAUGACACCAUUCAGGUUAUAUACAAGAGGUCUAACAUGGCCAUGUUAUGAUCCUUCACAGUGUGUUUUUACUAGAACAGUAUUCAUGGAGUCAGUAUUUCAACAGCAUUUGAAAGUUGUACCAUCCAUGACAUCCAUAUAUUUAAUUGCUUUCAGAACCAUAACACUUGCUCAAUCAGAGCUUCAUCCCCUCCUUGGCCUAGUCAGACAAAACUGUGCAUAUCCACGAAGUCAAACAUUUGCAAGGAAGCACACUGAUGUUUUAAAUACCUACGCUCUGUGUCUGUGGAGGUAAGAUAAAAGGCUUCGUUAAUGUCCCUGGAAGGCGACCAUAUGUUUGAAAUGAAUCAGAUUAGACAGUUUACAACGGCUGUGAGUAAGAAGUAUUAAUAGAUGCACAUCGUAAAUGACCUAUGCAACCUGAUCCCAGGAACUACUCCUCAACUUCCCACCCACACUCUGUGAAAUUCUGAAUAACAUCUUAGAGUGAUGUAUGCCAUUGACAAGAGGUAACAUAGGUCAUUAGCCAGGAGAUAUUUUAUUUCAUAAAACAUUUAUGGUACAAAAUAUACUUUCCGUUUAACAAAAAAAAGCCACAGUUAUUGUCUGAAACAGCAAGGCAAAUAGCAAACAACUGAAAAUAGCAUAGCGUUUGACACUAUAAGAGCAGAGAAAAAUGCUAUUUUAAAGACAUGCGGCUUGAAUGAACAGGUACAGUGGUUAAUCCAUAUUGCAGUCAAAACCAUAUAAUAACACUUUAAUGACAUCAGCCCACUUCUUUUCUCGGAUUGAAAAUAAGAUUCUUGUCUUUUAACCAAACAUGUAGAUAUGUGUUAUGUUUUGGCCAUACAUUUCAUAUCGUUUGGACACAAUUGGGAAUUUUGACUUUGUCCUUGCUGAAAGGUCACAAAAAGGACAUAGAAAACUAGAGCUGAUGAGGUCUCAAUAUCACACACGUCUGCUAUUUAGCUUCACGCUUAAUUACAAGGGAGGAAAUAACCAGCCUCAUUAGUCUCCCUUUCCAGACAGCCUCUGUGUGACGUCCUUGUUGUGUUAUAAAAAGACAGCAGAGACUUGCCUUAUCAGUGGAAAUGUGAAAUUAGCCAUACUAACAAGCUCAGGCUCUGCCCUCACAGACGUCAGACAAAUAUUGCUUUGAUUUAAUUUCUACAUGAAAAACACCAGUUCCUUGACCGUGCCAUUCAUCAUUUUGUAAGUAGUCACUAGGGACUAGAGAAUGACUAUCAAGUUACAUCUGCAUGCAAAUGCUACCCUCUACUAAAAUCACACGUGACAAUGUUACAGGUGGUACGGAUUUUCCUAACAAAUAUACAACAUUUAUCAAAAUAUAGCAUAUAUCGAUAUUCUAAAAUGCAAUAUUUAUCAGGUUAUCUGAAACAAACACUUUCAUUUUUUUUCUGAUGCAGCUUAUUAAACUAAGAACUCGAUCACAAUAGCAUUAGGAUAGCAUUGCAAGGACGAGUUCAAACUGAAACACAAAGUAACAUUAAAAAAUGUGACAGUUACUCCUAAAUGUUUUAUGAUAAUAUGCAGUAUUUUUUUUAUGCGAAUAAAAAUAAAAAAUGGCCCUUAUGUGAAACCUUAUGUGAAACCUUGUCUUAAGUGUUUUGUCCAGUGUCUGUCAUGAACUACAGAAAGACAAUAACAGAAGUACAAUAUAUUGACUACAUUCUUGACUGACAGUUUUUACAAUAGAAAAUGCUCAGAUUUUAAGACUCCAACACAACUAUAGUGCCUUUGCAAAAGUACCUGCAGUUUUUUGCAGAAAAUCUGUCUUUGGAUACAUCUAAAGUAGGACUACCUAAUCUACAACCAUCCUAUAACCAGACUGUGCAAUAUGUCAUCCACACAUAUCUAAACACUAAGAGUGGGUGGAAUGCAUGCUUUUGUCAUUGUGCUCAAAUAAGCCAAGUGUACCUGCUUAAAAAAUAAGUUAAAAGGUUGAGACAUGCUGGAAUGUAGACAGUCUACAUUCUGGCACACAAGUACCUAGGGCCCUCUCCAAAGAACAUCCAUAUAGGCACGAAAAACAAGCUGAGCCAGCCAAUUCCAUGUGAGGACACAGUAGAGAGUAGAGAGUCAGAAGUACUUUUAGUAAGCUGGAGCCUGAAAGUUUACAGUUGCAGGGUUCAUGAGGGGUUGUUGUGUAGGAGACUUGGAUGAGAUAGAAUAGGUGUUCAUCACAGGGAUCUAUAGUAUUUGUGUGGGAGUCACUUCCUGAAGUUGCUCAAAGUGCACGCAUGGUGCAGAGUCUUGUAUACAUUCUUAGGGGAAGCUCAGUGGGCUACUGUUGUUUGCCCAGGGAGUGUUACUGCUGUGUUCAGUGGGCCUUUUUGAUCUUUUGACUACUGCCAGGGUGGGGUGUGACGUUAUGUUCACAUGAGAGUGUUUGGCAGAAAUGUCUUACAGUGUUAUUAUAACUUGCGAGUAGGAAUGUUUUCUAUGAAGCAUGCACCAUGAAGCAUAAAAUGGCCGCUCUUUAAAAUGCCAGAUUAUAAGUGACACAGAAAAUUAUUAUGAGUAAGGUUUAACUGACAGUGCAUGCUUGACAUUUUUUUUCAGACAGUCCAGACUCACCCUUUUUUAUAUGUCAGUGAAGGGAAACCACCAGCCUUUUAAGGUGUGGUCCUAAUUACCCUUCAACACAUUUAGAACAGGUGCCACUGCCACCAGACUCAUGUAUUGAAAAUGACUCUGGGAUGAGGCUGCAUGGUAUGGCUGUCUGGCAUGUUGCCAUUUAACCUUAACAUUUAACAUGAAACCAUUUUGUGAUCAUUCAAGAGAGAGUCUUGUUCUGGAGAGACUAAGAGAGAUGUUAAUUUAAUGAAAUGAUGUAUAUUUUUUUCAUUGUGGUCAAUAAAAUACAUGAAUAUGUCAGUGUAUGUAUGAGCAAGAAAAUAUUAUAUACAGUACAUGGAUAAAUAAGUCUUUUGUUAGUUUUGUGUCAUUCAUAAAUGUGUCAUUUUAAAUGAAUGUGUUAAUAAUCUCUGAGAAAUGCUUCUCAGUUUGUUUUUACAAAAGUGAAAACAUGCAAUUCAUGAAGAAAAACUGCUGUUUUACGCAUCAAAAUAGUGUUCAUUUCAUAGAAAAAGAAAUUUACGAGCCAAGGUUUGUUUAAUUUCACAUUUCAGUGACGAUACCUGCAUAAUCUCAAACAUUUCUAAGAAAAUACCUUUACAAAACUAAACAACAGAAUCAUUCGUACAAGUCCCAGUAAUAUAUGGGCAUAUAAAAUCUGCAAGUUGCCAGGUUGACACACAAACACACAUAUGCACACACACACACACAAACACACACAAGCACACAUUAUGCGAGGGUGUAUAUUUGAGGUAUUCUCAUCAGCUGGUUAGAGGAGACCUUGAGGAUGGUACCGCCAUGCACUGGAGGCAGACAUGGACUACACGGGCCCUUAAUUCAAUGACGGGCAACGGGCAGUGAGCAAAGUCUGUCGUGCACGAGCUAAAGCUAUCGUCUGGCAUAUGGGAGCAUUGCCCUGACCCACCCAUGUUUGCCUUAAGGAUCUUGCUCGUGGUUUUAAAUUAGCAAAAUGAUUUUGCCAAGUUAUUCAAUUAGCUUUAGUUCACGCACGGCGGACUUUGUUUGUUGCCAAUCGCCCGUCAAUGACAUGAGGGCCCCACGUCAUGCAGACUCAGUUCUUUACUAAUUAAUUGUGUGGUGGCGACUCAGCUGGCUCAGCUUGUUAUUAGCAGUGUAAGCAUCUACCAUCAAUACUUACAAGUACAACAUGGCUCCCUCUGAGAGAGGACUGAGAGUUAGAAUUUAAUGAAAUUUGAAAGUUCCCUCCCUAUUAAUUCUAUUUCUCUAUGGAUAUGUCUUAUUGCAUUCAAUACAUCUAUUUUGAUCUCCCAAUCACCGUGCCAACAAUGACAUCCAUUAAUCCUUGAGCCUCUACUAAGUACACAAUAUCAACACAAAAUAGACUUACUAUAUACAAGUGAAUUUAAAUAGUUGAAUAAAUUAUAGAUAUAUUUAUAUCUGAAGCAUCUAAAGCUGUAGAUUAUACCACAUAAAUACCAGGGACAUAAAGGAGGAAAAGAAUGUGAAAGGAGAAAGAAGGGUCAGAAAGAAGCAGAAAGGAAAGUCUGUCCAGUGCUAUUCAAAGGAGCAGGCAGGUCUUAUCCUAUUGGAUACUACAAUUACCCUCCUCAGAGGGCAAACAGGCAUUAUUGCCCAAUACCCACACCUCCCCAUGCCAGGUUUCCUACAUAGGUAGCUAAAAUCCAUCCGCUUUGGUUCAUAAAAGCUCCCAAGACGCCCUCCUCAAUAUCUCCAAUUAGAAAGUCUCAGAGAGGAAAAGCAGUGAUACUGUAGGUUCCAACAACAACUAGGGAAUCCAAACAAGGGAAAAGGAAAAGGGGCUUUGAACUAGGAUAGUUGCAGCAUCGCCUCACAGGCAUUGCCAAUGAUGUCAUCCGGAUGUAAAUCUUGUCAAGCUGGAAGAGAACAGUACCAUAGCUGCUGCUGUGGCCACAGGCCUGGAUCAGACUCCUCUUUCCUUCACAUUCUGUAAACAGAGGGAAAGAGAGGAAGAUGAAGAGACAAGGUUGGUAUUUUGGUGAGCGAUCCAGUCUAAGGGAAGGCCCUCGCUGUAGCAAGAGUGAUCUCACAUAGUGAUUCAGUUACAUGAUGUUAUCAAGUCUCUCGUUGUAAAAAAGGCUCUUGACUUAUUUACCAUUUAAUAUGUUAUUUUCCUUUUUCAUGCUGAAGGACUCUUAAUUUGUUAUUAGCAGCACCAACGUCAUGCCUGAGAGAGAACGCACAUUGUUAUACUUUACUGUGUCGCGCUAUUGAAGCAGCAAUUCCGUGCCUUUCAUGUGUUGAGACCAAGAAACCCCUUUAGUUCGACGUGUGCGUCUAUGAAAGAUGUAAGUUCUCUACUGGGAUGUUAAUUCCAUGUAUUAAGCAGUGUUAUAUGUUUAGAGAUAUUAAUUGUUUAUCAUUAGUGCUAAACGGGUGAAGGAAUGCUAGCAUUUACCGUGUGAAUGACGUUAUGUUAGCUUGCUAAAUUACCUUGCAUUGCGCCAAACCAUGUACUUUCUAUCCUGUUAGCCUGCAUACGUAUGCUAUUUGUGUUCAUUAUAGUGUAGCUACGUACCUACUAAUUUGUAUUUACAUGUUUGUGAGCCUUAUCUAGUCAUUGUACAUGCUUAGUGAUACCGUGAGCUGACUAGCCUGUUGAGUUAACAUGUCAGCGUAGAUAUGUGCGCGAGGGCUACGUAAUAGCUGUGAACUUAUUGUUUUCCCCUUUCUACUUUGUUUAAGAACCACACAUACUCCACACACACCUUAACCACGCACUGUUAUAACACACUGGUUGCUUGUAACAUACUGAAUAUCUCGGUUAGAGAAUUCCUGUAUUCCUGAUUCGUUUCCAAUACAAAGUGGUUGCAUCAAAUCUCGCGUCAUCAUUGCCUCAUCUCCAGCGUGCACCUCUCCUGCCCUGAACAUCCUGGCCUUGAAGUGGUGUUCUGGCCGACACUCAGGAUUGUGUGUGAUGAUAGAAUAAGAACAGCCCCUAUACAGUCCUACCCUACCUAUACAGUUCUACCCAUCUACUAACCCUCACCCACACUCGUGCUUGAGAGAUCCUUUCACAAAGAGGUAAAAACCUUCAUUAGUAGUUUGUGUCAAUGACAUAUUUUGUUUCUGGAGAAUCUGUAGAUGAACAUAGUAACAUUGUAACUUGAGCGUGAACAUUGUAAAUGAACAUAGCCAUGAUAUUUGAACCAAGCCUUGGAAGAAAUUAGUUCAAUGAAUUAUGCAUGGCGAGACAAAAAGAGUUUGUGAACAAGCAAUAAUUCAUGCCAACGAUGCAAGCUAGCAAUGACGUACAUACGUAUUAUGCACAUUAUGUAAGAAAAGCAUGGAAAAUUUUGCAUAAAAGGUUUACAUAAAAGAGCUGAAGGUUUUACGAGUGUGAA